GAUGAAGAACGUAGCGAAAUGCGAUACGUAAUGUGAAUUGCAGAAUUCAGUGAAUCAUCGAAUCUUUGAACGCAUAUUGCGCUCUCUGGUAUUCCGGAGAGCAUGCUUGUUUGAGUAUCAGUAAACACCUCAACUUCCAUAUCUUUUUUGAAAUGGGAGUUGGACUUGAGUGAUCCCAACGCUUUUCCUCACCGAAAAGUGGCGGGUUACUUGAAAUGCAGGUGCAGCUGGACUUUUCUCUGAGCUAUAAGCAUAUCUAUUUAGUCUGCCUAAAAAACAGAUUAUUACCUUUGCUGCAGCUAACAUAAAGGAGAUUAGUUCUUGUGCUGACUGAUGCAGGAUUCACAAAGACAGGCUUCGGCCGACUUUGUAAACUCGAUCUCAAAUCAAGUAAGACUACCCGCCGAACUUAAGCAUAUCAAUAAGCGGAGGA
rnacentral:misc_RNA from 1 species